rnacentral:rRNA from 1 species
UACGUAGGGGGGCUAGCGUUGUCCGGAAUCAUUGGGCGUAAAGCGCGUGUAGGCGGUCCGGUAAGUCCGCUGUGAAAGUCGGGGGGCUCAACCUUCGAAAGCCGAUGGAUACUGCCGGGGCUAGAGUUCGGAAGAGGCGAGUGGAAUUCCUGGGUGUAGGCGGUGGGAAUGCGCAGAUAUCAGGAGGAACACCUAUAGCGAAGGCAGCUCGCUGGUACGACACUGACGCUAAGGCGCGAAAGCGUGGGAGCAACAGG